UACGUAGGUGGCAAGCGUUGUCCGGAUUUAUUGGGUUUAAAGGGUGCGUAGGCGGCCCUGUAAGUCAGUGCUGAAAUAUCCCAGCUUAACUGGGAGGGUGGCAUUGAUACUGCGGGGCUAGAGUACAGAUGAGGUAGGCGGAAUUGACGGUGUAGCGGUGAAAUGCUUAGAUAUCGUCAAGAACACCUAUAGCGAAGGCAGCUUACUAGGCUGUAACUGACGCUGAGGCACGAAAGCGUGGGGAUCAAACAGG
rnacentral:rRNA from 1 species